AGUGAACGCUGGCGGUAGGCCUAACACAUGCAAGUCGAACGGCAGCACAGUAAGAGCUUGCUCUUACGGGUGGCGAGUGGCGGACGGGUGAGGAAUACAUCGGAAUCUACUUUUUCGUGGGGGAUAACGUAGGGAAACUUACGCUAAUACGCAUACGACCUACGGGUGAAAGCAGGGGAUCUUCGGACCUUGCGCGAUUGAAUGAGCCGAUGUCGGAUUAGCUAGUUGGCGGGGUAAAGGCCCACCAAGGCGACGAUCCGUAGCUGGUCUGAGAGGAUGAUCAGCCACACUGGAACUGAGACACGGUCCAGACUCCUACGGGAGGCAGCAGUGGGGAAUAUUGGACAAUGGGCGCAAGCCUGAUCCAGCCAUACCGCGUGGGUGAAGAAGGCCUUCGAGUUGUAAAGCCCUUUUGUUGGGAAAGAAAAGCAGCAGGUUAAUACCCCGCUGUUCUGACGGUACCCAAAGAAUAAGCACCGGCUAACUUCGUG
rnacentral:rRNA from 1 species